rnacentral:rRNA from 1 species
AGUGAACGCUGGCGGUAGGCCUAACACAUGCAAGUCGAACGGCAGCACAGUAAGAGCUUGCUAUUACGGGUGGUGAGUGGCGGACGGGUGAGGAAUACAUCGGAAUCUACUUUUUCGUGGGGGAUAACGUAGGGAAACUUACGCUAAUACCGCAUACGACCUACGGGUGAAAGCAGGGGAUCUUCGGACCUUGCGCGAUUGAAUGAGCCGAUGUCGGAUUAGCUAGUUGGCGGGGUAAAGGCCCACCAAGGCGACGAUCCGUAGCUGGUCUGAGAGGAUGAUCAGCCACACUGGAACUGAGACACGGUCCAGACUCCUACGGGAGGCAGCAGUGGGGAAUAUUGGACAAUGGGCGCAAGCCUGAUCCAGCCAUACCGCGUGGGUGAAGAAGGCCUUCGGGUUGUAAAGCCCUUUUGUUGGGAAAGAAAAGCAGCAGGUUAAUACCCCGCUGUUCUGACGGUACCCAAAGAAUAAGCACCGGCUAACUUCGUG